rnacentral:sRNA from 1 species
GUUUUGUCUCUUAUCUU